rnacentral:rRNA from 1 species
GACGAAGGGGGCUAGCGUUGUUCGGAAUUACUGGGCGUAAAGCGCGUGUAGGCGGUUGUUUCAAGUCGGGUGUGAAAGCCUUGAGCUCAACUCAAGAAAUGCACUCGGUACUGGAUGACUAGAGGACCGGAGAGGAUAGUGGAAUUCCCAGUGUAGUGGUGAAAUAACGUAGAGAUUGGGAAGAACACCAGUGGCGAAGGCGGCUAUCUGGGACGGUUUCUGA